GAGCUAAAACUUGACACUUAGAUAGAGGAGGAAGUAGAAAGAAAAUCUUUAUACACUAUUAUCAUCCAAUGAAUUCAUUGCAACACCACGAACAAUGAGACUUCUGUCUCGCUUACCUGCCCGACGGGUAGACCCAAUAGAAUAAAUAGAAUAAGAGGCUUGACCUAGAGCCCUUCUCUUCCCCCUGAAAAAAAUCGGAUAUUUGGCAUGAGUAGCCUACGAGCCCUUACUUGAUGUCUGCGCUAACUGCCCUAUAGCUGGUGAAUCCUUUGAAUCAUAGGAAUGGCAAAAUCAGUAGAUACCGGGCUUGGAACAUCUCACCACUAACUGCCAUAUAGCCGAUGAAUCCUUUGAAUCACAGGAAUGGAAAAAUCAUUAGAUACCGGACUUGGAAGAUCUCACCACACGCGUACUAAAAGCGCGAUCUUGAAACUAGAAACUCUGGUUUGGAACAAAUGAGCGGAUAGGCUUGACGAAGUUUAGGAAAAAUGCAAUAAUAUAAUAAUAAAGUUUUGCCGUUCUGUCUUUCGCACGGAAGUCUGUCUGUCUUCAUUCCAAUCAUCGUAGUUCGAUCGAUCAACUACGCCCAUCCAAUCUAACCAUCUCUCCUGAAGCCCUUUCCCUUCUAGUAGCCCUUCAUCGUUAUUGAAACAUAGGUCCUCGGCAGGCGGGAACAAAAAGAGAAAGAAGAAGAUAGAAAGGUUCGGUCCCAGUUGGUCUCGUCUAUGGAUUUUCUUU
rnacentral:lncRNA from 1 species